UCUUAACCUUUCUGUUGCCUAAAAGUUAUAAAAUGUGUAUUUUGAUACACCAAAGGGAACCCUGAGGGGGAUAGAAGAACACAAAGAGAAUAUGAUGAAUGUAUCAGCUAAGGGGCUUUUCAUAGUACUUCCUUCAGCCUCAUCCAGUCUUCACCGAUAACAUGACGGAUUCUGUCUCCAACUUUGUGAUAUCACACAGUGGAAGGCCACCAUAUUGCUUGGGAAGAAGUGUUAUGAAGACAUGUGACCUUUAGGACACGUUGAAGACAGGCUGCUGCUGCAGACUGAGGAAACUGCAGAGACUGUAGAAAACUGCCCAGUCUGGCUGUAAAAUGCUGACUUUCUCCUACUCCAGCCAUCCACUCUUCUUUGGAUGAUUGUAUUUGCUGUGUAUAUGUGUGUAGAGCACGUCACGCCCUCCUCCCUCAGUGUUUAUUUAAAUAGACUUCAGGCAGAUGGCACAAAAAAAGUUUUGUUCUAAAAAGAUUCAUACAUUAAAACAAUAUACUGACA